ACAGAGCCUGCAGUGGAGAUGAGUCAGUCACGUGUGAUGAUGGGGCAUCAGCAAGGCACAGCUAUCAUCUGCCAAGCAGGCCGGCCAAUCAGACCCUGCUUCUUCUUCACAACCCCCUCAGAAACUACAUCACAUCCUAUACGGUGCUCACCACACAGCAGGGCACAGCUACUGCUCUGUUGACUUGUCUCUACUGAAUCUCAGUUGCCUAUCAGGCUCUGACUCCUGGACAGCAGCAGUCUGCCUUGUUUCUCCAAUGUACACAUGGGCUUUGGUCAUACCCAGGACCCACUGUGUCCUGGAAUACGGCCAGAGCCUGACUGGUAAGCGAUCAC